rnacentral:lncRNA from 1 species
CCGCUCGAUGCCUAUUGUAGCUAAAAAAACUCAUUUUCUGAGACAUUAUCUUCUUUGGUAAUUGUGCUCCUCAUUUUGUAAUUGUGUUGCUUCUUAGAACAAUAUUAAGCAAUGUGUUUAGCUUCUCUACAAUAUAAACACAACCCCUUUUAGUGACAUCAAGUCUUUUCUUACUUUAUGAGAGGUUUAAAAUGUAUCAUAUCAAUUUGCAUUUGUUUCGGUUUUGACGAAUACAUUUCAAAAAACUUGGGAGCUAUUGCCAUUACUUGACUUGUUUCUCUCCAAUCAAAUCUUUGUUCUUGAUGUCUUUCAAAUAAACGAUU